GACGAACGCUGGCGGCGUGCCUAAUCCAUGCAAGUCGAACGCACAGUUUAUACCGUAGCUUGCUACACCAUAGACUGUGAGUUGCGAACGAGUGAUUAACGCGUAGGUAACCUGCCUGGUAGCGGUGGAUAACUAUUGGAAACGAUAGCUAAUACCGCAUAAUAUUGAUUAUUGCAUGAUAAUUGAUUGACAUAUUCUAUUUCAUCACUACCAGCUCGACCUGGGUUGUAUUAGCUAGUAGGUGAGGUAACGGCUCACCUAGGCAAAGAUACAUAUCCGACCUGGGAGGGGGAUCGGCCACAAUGGGACUGGGAAAAGGGCCAGAAUCCUAAGGGAGGCAGCAGGAGGGAAUCUUCGGCAAUGGACGAAAGGCUGAACGAGCAAAGCCGCGGGAGUGAAGAAGGGUCUCGGAUCGUAAAGAUCUGUUGUAAGAGAAGAAAGGGUGUGAGAGUGGAAAGUGCACACUGUGACGGUAUCUUACCAGAAAGGGACGGCUAACUACGUG
rnacentral:rRNA from 1 species